ensembl:lncRNA novel transcript, antisense to FAM65A
GGCACCAUCCCGGAGACGCCGCUGGACACAGUAUGCCUCAUACAGCUCAUCGAUCUGGGAAGCCGCCUGGGGAGAGCUCUCUGCUUCCUUGUGCAAGGUUCCCUCUGCAGGGGAACUCCCAUCAAGCCCCGGCAGAAGUGUUCCCUCCUCCAGGAAGCCCUAACCUCUUCCCAAGAAGCACCAUGCAGCAGUACCACUGCUCAGUACCACUGCAGCAGAAUCUCCUGCUGUCCAUGUCUGUAGGGGUCCCACCUACCCCACUGGAAGCUCCUGGAGCAGCGCCGUGUACACCAGGUCCAGCCGCUCGGGCUGCGGCACCUUGGCGGCUGGGUGAGCCACGGAAAACAUCCUGGACACUCGGGAGAGCGCGGGGGGCUUCCGUGGGGGCCCCGGCGGGCUGAAGACCGGGAAACUCCUGAAGGAGAGGCUGUCCUCAGAAAGAGGAGAGCAGGAGUCCCCCAGACUCUCACUACGCACCCCCAGACCCAGCCCCAUCUGACGCCCUUUGACCCCACCAACCCUGCGCGGCC